rnacentral:rRNA from 1 species
GACGUAGGAGGCGAGCGUUGUCCGGAUUCAUUGGGCGUAAAGAGCACGCAGGCGGUUUGGCAAGUCGGAUGUGAAAACCCGAAGCUCAACUUCGGGCCUGCAUCCGAAACUGCCCGACUAGAGGUAGGUAGGGGAGAUCGGAAUUCCUGGUGUAGCGGUGAAAUGCGCAGAUAUCAGGAGGAACACCGGUGGCGAAGGCGGAUCUCUGGGCCUUACCUGACGCUCAGGUGCGAAAGCUAGGGGAGCGAACAGGAUUAGAUACCCUGGUAGUCCUAGCCGUAAACGUUGGGUGCUAGGUGUGGGCGGUCAUCAACCCCGUCCGUGCCGAAGCUAACGCAUUAAGCACCCCGCCUGGGGAGUACGGCCGCAAGGCUAAA